rnacentral:tRNA from 1 species
GGUUGUGGUUUAGUGGUAGAAUACUUGCUAGUAUGCACGAACCCUGGGUUCAAUCCCCAGUAUGACCA